rnacentral:rRNA from 1 species
UACGUAGGGGGCAAGCGUUGUUCGGAAUUACUGGGCGUAAAGGGCGCGUAGGCGGCAUGGCAAGUCAGGAGUGAAAGGCCUGGGCUCAACCGAGGAGCUGCUUUUGAUACUGCCAAGCUAGAGUGCGGAAGGGGCAACUGGAAUUCCCAGUGUAGCGGUGAAAUGCGUAGAUAUUGGGAAGAACACCUGAGGCGAAGGCGGGUCUCUGGACAGUUCCUGACGCUGAGGCACGAAGGCCAGGGGAGCAAACGGG